UCCUAGCCCCGAUAGUAGUGGAAAUCCUUUUUGGGGUGGUGGUAACGGCGUGAAUUCGAUACCUUUGACGUCAUCACCCCAAAAAGAUUGCAACGGAUAGCGGGAAAUAGC
rnacentral:sRNA from 1 species